ensembl:lncRNA
CUUUCAAGACAGCCGGCCACAUACCUGAAGAACAAAGAACAAACACACUGACGGUUUAGGCAGAUUAACAAAUUGUCAGUGUACCCAACUUGUAAGAAUGAGUGCCACAACAAUUGAAAAAAGACCUCUCCUCACACCUGGCAUUCCCAAUCUAGUCUAAAUACACAGCGUGUACUUUCAAACCAGCUUAAUAGCAAUGCCUUAGAAUUCACUAAAACACCAGUUCAACACAUUUCUGUAACAGUUACCAAUCCAUUCCCAAGGAAUUCCAUGUGCAUUAUUUUGCUGUCUGGCAAUUUACAUUGGACAGGUCAUCCCACAGAACUCAGGACACAAGCUGAGUGUAAGCGGCUGACAGAAGUCUCCAAAAAAAGAAUACAGUGUAACAGUUUGGUUGUCUCUACCAAGUUACAGUGAACCUGUGCAGGUUAUUCCUUCUAGACUGCCAGUCUCUGUCCAUGCUGAGAGGUUCUAUAACAUCUCACACCCACGUGACGUCUGUGGAGACAUGAGAUAUGAUGUUCUGCAGUUCACCUGUUGUGAUGGAAUACUACAUGAAGGGGCAAGGCUGUCCUGCUGCGGAAGCAAUGCCUUCAGCAUCAACCAGGCAUCUUGUUGUCAAGGUCAGCUGACUGCUAAUGUGAGCCAGCUUGUGUCAGAUUGCUGCGGGUACAAAGCCUACGACCCACUCAACUAUCUGUGCUGUAACAAACGGAUACUUAAAAGGACCAAACCCUAUUCCAAGUGUUGUGGAAAAGAGCUUUUUGACAGUCACCAGCUUUGCUGUGGAGUGGAAAAGAUAGUCCUGACCAAAAUCUCCAGUAACCAUAAGUGCUGUGGAAACCAACAGUACGACAACAGAAGCCAAUGCUGCUGCAAUUAUACUGUAGUAACCACAAGGACUCUGGAUGGAAAAUGCUGUGUAUCAAAUGACACAGUGGUGACAAAACCGGCCCUGAAAAAUAGACCUAACAACUGAAAUCGAGACUCAUCAGACCAGGCAACAUUCUUCCAGUCUUCAACUGUCCAAUUUUGUCCUCCUGGGGAGAAGGCCUGUGGUGAAGCCUGUUAUGACCCAACAACAGAGCAGUGCUGUAAUACCUCUUUCCAGGGGCCAUAUCCCUCUGGCCAGAAAUGCUAUCAAGGUCAGACUGCUGACUGUGGAUCCUCACCUUACAAUCCAGAAAAAGAGACGUGUUGUGCUGGGAGUGUGAAAAACAGGGUGCAUGGAAACAAUCUGUGUUGCGGUACAAAUCCCUAUAGUGUAGUGGAUGAAGACAGUUUCUGCUGCAACCAGAGCUUGUCCCACGAGCGUAAGGAGGGAAAGCGCUGUUCCCGGAGUGGCCACUUGUAUCAGCCUGACAGUCAGUUGGUGUGUGAGUCAUAUGUCAACAGACCUGGGAACCACUGCUGUGGAAAGACGACCUACGACCCCCAGACUGAGAUCUGCUGCAACGGGCACAAACACAGCAGGUCUGUGAAUGUUUCCUGCUGUGGGAAGAAGGCCUACAACCGGAGCAGUGGAGGGAAGAAGUGCUGUGCAGGUACCCUGUACGAUCUGCCCAUUCAGGGCCGGCACACAAAUGAGUCCCAGUGCUGUGGAAGUGUCCUGAUGGAGGCUGGCUCCACUCAAACCUGCUGCUUCGGGCCGGGACUUGCCCUGGUCUACACUACCCAACCAGGCUUCAGCUGCUGUGGCCACCUCUACCCUAACGCCUCCCUCUGGUCCUGCUGCGCCGGGACACUGCAACCACGGACCGAGCUGCACACCAGGAACCCCAACAAGAAUCCAGGUCCCAGGCUUCUUCAGCUGGAGGAUCUGUAUGAAGAUGUGUGUCAUAACAAUGUUUACAUAGGGACUGUGGAGACUGUGUCUGUGAUGAAAAACCAGAUGUCCGUUGUGAUGAAGAAUGCUGUGUUCUUGAUGCUCUCGAAGAACCAGGUCCGGGCCCUAUCUAACCCUGAAUAUCUGAGGUUGUCUGACCAUUGCAGCUCCCCUGAGCUGGUUCCAGGAAACACUUACAUCUGGAUGAAACCAAAUCAUACCCUGGAGGACAUACGCUUCAUCUCUGACAUCAGUGAUCACCCGUCCCCUAUAUACUCUAUUCUUUCCAUGUGCAACAUGUGAAUAUAACCAAAAGGUCAGAACAAUGGUUACACGCUUUAAAACGCUAUGUGAAUUCUGGGUAAUUUUUUUCAUAUGCUAUUUUAGAGAAACCUGGUAUUUUUUAUUCAUUUUAUUUGACCAGGUGAAGAGCUGAUUCUCAUUUAUAAUGACAACUGGGCCACUUCUCAUAUUCAAUGCCGUCCUGGCCACAGGCAUCACAUUGCAAGUAUGUUAACUAAGUUAAAAACCAGCAUGCUUAUUUUUUCUCAGGAGCCAUAUCUCAGGAAAGGUUUGAUAUUAAACUGUCACAUUACUAAGAUUACAUGUAUAUUUCAUUUAAUUACAGUUCAUUGUCUACAUUUUGUUGCCUCUCAUACUUAAGCUAUUUCUUUAAACAAGUGACAGUAAACACUGUACGCAUAAACCUGGUCACAAAUCACAUGUAAGUAAUUAACCCUUUUGAGCACAAAGAAUGCACAUAGAAUGUUGUUUAGUGUUUCAGAACAUUGUGGAAAGUUCUCCUGAGUGAUGAUCUAAUGCAGUGACAGCCAGUCAUGUUAAUUUUGGCUGCAUCAAUGAGAAGAGAAUGUUAUUGUUGUUAAACUCUUGGUUUCUUGCAACUGGCUCCAAAUGGCAAUGGAAAAGGGAGUGUCGGAAAUGUAUACAGACACUCCCUUAAGAACUCUGGGAACAUUUUAGAGUAUCAUACUUUUUUUAUUUUGGUCAAGAGGGUUUAGCCUUUUUUUAAAUCUAGGCCAGGGGAUGGUCGUAUAAUUAGUAAUGGAUGCCAGAUUUCAAUAUUUGUGAUUAGUGAUUCAGAAUGAAGUGCUUAUUACAUCGUUGUUCGUCCGAUGUUGCCCGUUAUCCUGUUUGCUCAGCUGGCUGCCUACAGUAUACUGAGGUUAUAAUCCUAUAAUCUGCCGACAGGCCUUGAGGUGUCAGGGUAACCAAGUGGUCAAGAGUGUUGUGUUCAAUAAACAAAGGGUUGCUGAUUUUAAUCCCCAUGCCAAGAUGAAAAGCCCUGUGGUUCAGUCCCUGAGCCAGACAGUUAACCAUGAUUGCUCCUAGAUCAUGGCUGUAAAUAAUAAUGUCUUCAUAGCGUACAUUCCAUGUUUUUAUAGAGAAAACAAAGUGUAUGCUUGGAAAACUGUGAGGCAAAUGUACUUGAAUGAAAAAAUUUAAAAUAACUUAAUUCAGAAAACCAAUAUGCCAAUCUUCGGGUGCUGUUGACAGGUUGAGCAAAAAUAUCAUAUUUUAUAAAAAAACAAGCUAUUUACCAAUUAUUCUUAAUGUAUAAUUAGUAUUGUUUCAGAAUAAGCUAGAAUUAAUGUCAUUGUUGUGUGAGACAUCUCACAGGAGUCUGCUCAGGAUGGGCUGCAACAAUGAAGACUCCAAAUCAGAACUCACAGAACUAAAAUGAUAGAAUGAUAUUGACAAACAAUUUAUAUUUCCUUCUUUCCUCCAUAUUAUAUUAUUAAAGGCCACAAUGCCCGCACCCCCCCCACCCCCCCCAUCCCCGACAAACACACACACACACCUAGGUUCUGACUCUUGAAUGGAAGAGACUAUUCAUUCAUUCAUUCAUCUUCUUCCGCUUCAUCCGGGGCCGGGUCGCAGGGGCAGCAGUCUAAGCAGGGAUGCCCAGACUUCCCUCUCCCCAGACACUUCCUCCAGCUCUUCCGGGGGAACACUGAGGCGUUCCCAGGCCAGCCGGGAGACAUAGUCCCUCCAGCGUGUCCUAGGAAGAGACUAGACCAUUGUAAAUCCAGAUCAAAGAUUUUCAAAGAGCUGGAAAGAUGAUGUACUGUAUGUAGAAAUUAUAUCAUGUCCCUGGAUGGAUGCGCCAAGUACUUAAAACAUGGUUGCCAAUAAUUGUG